GUUGGCGGCCAUAGCUAGGAGCUAGGACCCGUACCCAUUCCGAACACGGAAGUGAAUCUCCUAGGCGAUCUAGGUUGUAGUGUUGUGCGAGAGCCUACGCGAACCCUAGACCGCUGCCAACU
rnacentral:rRNA from 1 species